UAGGGAAUCUUCGGCAAUGGACGAAAGUCUGACCGAGCAACGCCGCGUGAGUGAAGAAGGUUUUCGGAUCGUAAAACUCUGUUGUUAGAGAAGAACAAGGACGUUAGUAACUGAACGUCCCCUGACGGUAUCUAACCAGAAAGCCACGGCUAACUACGUGCCAGCAGCCGCGGUAAUACGUAGGUGGCAAGCGUUGUCCGGAUUUAUUGGGCGUAAAGCGAGCGCAGGCGGUUUCUUAAGUCUGAUGUGAAAGCCCCCGGCUCAACCGGGGAGGGUCAUUGGAAACUGGGAGACUUGAGGGCAGAAGAGGAGAGUGGAAUUCCAUGUGUAGCGGUUAAAUGCGUAGAUAUAAGGAGGAAUACCAGUGGCGAAGGCGGCUCUCUGGUCUGUAACUGACGCUGAGGCUCGAAAGCGUGGGGAGCAAACAGG
rnacentral:rRNA from 1 species